UGUGUGUUUGGUAUUGUGUUAUAUAUGUAACAUGUGUGUGUUUGGCAUUGUGUUAUAUAUUAAAACAUUGUGUGUUUGGCAUUGUGUUAUCUAUGUAAACAUGUGUGUUUGGUAUUAUGUUAUCUGUGUAAACAUGUGUGUUUGGUAUUGUGUUGUCUGUGUAAAUAUGUGUGUUUGGCAUGUGUUGUCUAUGUAAAUAUGUGUGUUUGGUAUUGUGUUGUCUUCUAAACAUGUGUGUUUGGCAUUGUGUUGUAUGUGUAAACAUGUGUGUUUGGCAUUGUUUGUCUAUGUAAACAUGUGUGUUUGGUUAUUAUGUAUAUAGUAAACAUGGUGUUUGGUAUUAUGUUAUAUAUGUAAACAUGUGUGUUUGUUAUUAUGUUAUAUAUGUAAACAUGUGUGUUUGGUAUUAUGUUAUAUAUGUAAACAUGUGUGUUUGGUAUUAUGUUAUAUAUUUGAACAUGUGUGUUUGGUAUUGUGUUAUCUAUGUAAACAUGCAUGUUUGGUAUUGUGUUAUAUAUGUGAACAUGCGUGUUUGGUAUUGUGUUAUCUAUGUAAACAUGUGUGUUUGGUAUUGUGUUAUCUAUGUAAACAUGUGUUUAUCUGCCUGUGAGUGUGUGUAUAUGUGUGUGUCUGUAUCUGCACAUGCGUGUUGGGAUGAGGGUAUAAAUGUAGCGCUUUAGCCCCAGACUGGAGGCAGUGUGUGUGUGUCUUUAUCCUGCACUGUCCUACUUAACGCAGUGCUGCUCCCCUGCUUCCGCCCUCCACAGCACAGGACAGAAGGAGUCUCCCUCACCUCCCUACCUCCAUCUAAGAGGGAGAGAGGAGGGGGAGAGAGUAAGAGCAAGAGAAAGAGAGGGGGGAGGAGGUGGAGAGCAAGCAGAGGACUGUACGACCCAGGCAUAACACACGUGCUAAAACUGGGACAAUAAACCGAAAAUUACCAACACUGACAUUGCCUUCCUUUUACUGAAGAACUUUCUUUCAUUUUGCUACACAACGUUCCUGUAGAUUAUUCUAAAACCAUU
rnacentral:lncRNA from 1 species